CUACUGCUCCACAGGCGGCUCACAGACACACACAGCAACCCUGUGGGCAUCUUUCUAGCUCGUAUUCGCCCCAGAGCAUUGCUGUCCGGUUCCUGCUGUGCUUUAUUCAGCUGUGAAGCAGAGGCUGCACUCCAGGCAUUCCCUAGAGGAGCUGGAGCUCCAUUCCACCUGCCCACAUCACGCCGUGGGGAGGGAGCCAUGGCCAUCCUCGCUUGGCUCCUGCAGGAUGGUCAGGGCCGAGUAAUUACACACCCCGAGCUACAGAUAUAGAGGCAGCUCCGAGAGAGCGCUGCGCCUAACUGCUCGUUUGGGUGCCUGAUGUCAGGAUUCAGACCGCAGCAGCUUCCUCAGGAAGGUCCUGUUUCCUGCGGUGCUUGCCUGGCUCAGCUGCUGAGUCUGGGUGCUGAGCCCUGGUGCCACGUGCUGAGCUUGCCAAGAGGAGAGGGCUGGGCACGGAGAGGUUUCUUUUCUGGUCAGCUCUUCCAGACUGAGGCAGGACCUGGAAACUGCCACAGGGUGAGGAUUGCAGCUCCUGGAAGACAGCUGGCUGCCAGACAGGGUGCAAAGCCACCAGUGCUGCCCCAAAGGGCAUAACUGCACUGUGAAUGCAGUCCAGGAGACGUUCAGCCCCAUAUUGCCAUGUUGGCCCUUCCCCUCACCCCAUGCACUGGAUUUGCUGGGGGUGCAGCACAGGGUGCCCAGGAACCCCUCGGACAGUCAGCAGGGAAGCAAGGAUCACCAGGGAUGACCUGGCUCAGGGACCAGGCUGCUGUGGGAAGAAGUAAAACAGGGUUGGUGACAGGAGCAAGAGCAAGUUUUUGUUAUCUCCGUGAGACGGUCCAUUUACAAGUUUGAUUUGCUUUAUACAUGUCAGUUGUGUUUGUUUGUUUGUUUCUUUUACCUUUGCCCUGUUGUUCUUGGGCCUUGCCUCUGGGAACAACUUUGUUUGCAUCUGCUGAGAUGUCCAGCUGGAGCAAGCACAGAAAAUUCCUGAACUCCUAUAAUGAAAUUUUCCAGUAUGCUAAAAAAUUAAUUUACUCCUUCUUGCAGAAAGUGACCAAGCAAAAAUGUACUCUUCUGCAAGAGGGAAGGAAAGGCUAUUAGGAAUCACCUUGAAAUCCCAGGGAAUCAGGUCUAGUGUGGGGUGGUUAUUUUCAGGUUCACUGCUGCAAAUCUUUAGUAGACAAAGCCUAGGGAAAAGCAUAGGACAGCUAGCUCUGUGCAGUUAUUUACAUCUGUAAGAAGGGUCAAAUGCCAUUAACUUGAUUAAAGAACAGAGGCUAGACCUGUUUUACAGUGACUGGGGGCUAUCCAGAGAGAGAGUUGGGCUCUAAGCAUCACUAAGAGGAUUCAGAAAACACAGCAGGAACAGGAAAGAGAUGUACAGGAGUCAUUAAAGAAUAGAAAUAAUAAUAAUAA